rnacentral:rRNA from 1 species
GACGAACGCUGGCGGCGUGCUUAACACAUGCAAGUCGAACGGAAAGGCCCUGCUUUUGUGGGGUGCUCGAGUGGCGAACGGGUGUGUAACACGUGAGUAACCUGCCCUUGACUUUGGGAUAACUUCAGGAAACUGGGGCUAAUACCGGAUAGGAGCUCCUGCUGCAUGGUGGGGGUUGGAAAGUUUCGGCGGUUGGGGAUGGACUCGCGGCUUAUCAGCUUGUUGGUGGGGUAGUGGCUUACCAAGGCUUUGACGGGUAGCCGGCCUGAGAGGGUGACCGGCCACAUUGGUACUGGGAUACGGCCCAGACUCCUACGGGAGGCAGCAGUGGGGAAUAUUGCACAAUGGUCGGGAGCCUGAUGCAGCAACUCCGCGUGCGGGAUGACGGCCUUCGGGUUGUAAACCGCUUUCGCCUGUUACGAAGCGUGAGUGACGGUAAUGGGUAAAGAAGCACCGGCUAACUACGUG